rnacentral:rRNA from 1 species
UUGAUAAAACUUUCAACAACGGAUCUCUUGGCUCUGGCAUCGAUGAAGAACGCAGCGAAAUGCGAUAAGUAAUGUGAAUUGCAGAAUUUAGUGAAUCAUCGAAUCUUUGAACGCACAUUGCGCCCCUUGGUAUUCCGAGGGGCAUGCCUGUUCG